rnacentral:tRNA from 1 species
UGGGGUACAGCUCAGUGGUAAAGCAUGUGUUUAACAUGCUUGAGGUCCUGGUUUCAAUUCCCAGUACCUCCA